AUUGAACGCUGGCGGCAGGCCUAACACAUGCAAGUCGAGCGGAUGAAGGGUGCUUGCUCCUGGAUUCAGCGGCGGACGGGUGAGUAAUGCCUAGGAAUCUGCCUGGUAGCGGGGGAUAACGUCCGGAAACGGGCGCUAAUACCGCAUACGUCCUGAGGGUGAAAGUGGGGGAUCUUCGGACCUCACGCUCUCAGAUGAGCCUAGGUCGGAUUAGCUAGUUGGUGGGGUAAAGGCCUACCAAGGCGACGAUCCGUAACUGGUCUGAGAGGAUGAUCAGUCACACUGGAACUGAGACACGGUCCAGACUCCUACGGGAGGCAGCAGUGGGGAAUAUUGGACACUGGGCGAAAGCCUGAUCCAGCCAUGCCGCGUGUGUGAAGAAGGUCUUCGGAUUGUAAAGCACUUUAAGUUGGGAGGAAGGGCAGUAAGUUAAUACCUUGCUGUUUUGACGUUACCAACAGAAUAAGCACCGGCUAACUUCGUG
rnacentral:rRNA from 1 species